AUGGCGGCGCCGUUUGUGUACCUCCGCCCCACCGUCAAGGAUGACGGCACCGGUAUUAUAAAGAGACUUACCAAAAGAAACGGCGACCUGUCGGCGCUUUUUUCUAUCAACACGAAUGGAUGUAAUGUGUUGCGUCUCGCGACAUGCGCAGGCCAUUUAGAGGUUUGCAGGUACCUAGUGGAGGAGCUUGGAGGAGAUGUAAAUGCUCCUGGGUUUGGGGAUACAGCUCUAGGUGCGACUCCAUUUAUGGUGUCUGCUCAGUCUGGUGAUGUUGCUACUGUCAAGUAUUUUCUUGAUCAUGGUGGUGAUCUUGUGAAAGCAGAUGACAAAGGGCGCACAGUUCUCCACCAUGCUGCGGGUAUAGGAUGCUGCAAGGUUACAGAGUUCCUCCUGUCAAAAGGAGUGCCUGUUGACAUAGACUGUGGCCGUGGAACACCACUCUUUUGGGCUGCCAGUAAUUUGUUCAAUGCUUGUGCCCAAAUGACUUAUGUGGCUAGGCUGGGGAUUCCGGCUUUUGAUGUUAGGAUUAGGUGA
rnacentral:rRNA from 1 species